GAAGCUUGUAUGGGUGUGUGAUUUUAACACUGAACCUCGCUGCCAUGCUUUUGCACCAAACCAUAAGCACCGGUGGCAAACAGAUGGGCCGGCAGUGACAGCGGCACACUGCUUGGGCAGCUGUGCAAGCGCGCAGGAAAGAGGGAAAUGUAAGGCUUUGGGCUGUGUGUGACAAUUUACAUUCUGUGUGCUGUUGGGGUGUGCAGCAUUUGUUGUAUUAACCACUGUCUGCAGAGCAGCUGUAGGUGUGUCUGGCUGACUUCACCUUUACUGUUUAUUAUCCUGCUAUUUAUCUUGGAGAGAAUCUUGUACAAAUGCUAAUGAUAAGUGAAAUGAUUCUUUCCCAGUAGAAACACAAUUUCACAUCCAGGAAGAAAAUGUGUUAGCCCAUAACUUUUGGAAAAAAUGUCAGGCAGAAAUCAUCCAAAAAUGAAGUUCCUGAUAGAUUUUUAAUGAUCCUGGCAGGAGAUACAACGACACUUGAGAGGCCCAGAAAUGUUUUGUUGAUGGUCGAGCUAAACAUUUCUUAUUGGAUGACUCUAUUUUUCCAAUCACCUAAAUGCCACAUUUAAAAAAGUUAACAAAUUUGUGAAUGGGAAAAUGUUUUGAUUUGACAGUUUUCCGUUGUGCUGGAGACAAAAGACUCUUGGAGAAAAUGCUUGCCACAGAUGGUGCUGCAAAAUUAAGUGUUUUUUUCCUAACAAGGAUGAAAAAGGAAAGUUGGAGAAAUGAAAAUGUUAACACAUGUGAUACAUGAAAAACCUUACAAAUAAAUAAACUAUGCAUGAAAAAAGACCU